GCGCUAGCCCUGAGCUGUACCCCCAGCCUCUUGUAUUAAUGAUUUUGAGACAGUAUGUUAUGCAGGCUAGGCUCCAACUUGCUAUCCUCCUGCUUCAGCCUUCCUAAGUGCUGGGGUAACAGGCUCUCACCACCGCCCCUGGCCGGCCUCCUCGCUCGCUCUAGCUGCCUCCUCCUGCUUCCUUGAAGCUCUUCUGUGAUCCUAAACUGCACACAAGGCAAAAUAGUAUGCAGCAGAAGGAACAGCAGGGAAAGCAUACCAAGGCUUGUUUGAAGGGGACACAACGGGAAAGCAGGCAGUCCGGAGGCCCAGGGCACCGAUAGUCCCAGGGAUGGCCAUAGGGAGUGGGGAAGGGGGCAUCCUUCACUGCUCUCUUCCCCCGCAAGCUGAGCCAUUAGCCUGGGACACGGAGACGCCUGCCUCAGCCUCAUGCUCAGGCCUUUUCUCAGCAGGAGGGUAUCUGUGGCAGCCUGUCCCUUGGGCCACAGCCCUGUGCAUGGGUUUCACGUGCAUUUUCCUAGUGAAGCCUCCCAGCCACACAUGAGAUCACUUCUAUUAUUACCCUCGCCCUCCAGAAGAGGACGCAGGUGAAGUAACUGUCUGAGCGGGCUCUGCAGAAAGUCAGCUGGGAUCAUCUGAGCCACAAAUCAUUAGGACACCGAAGGGAUAAGUUCUUAAUAUAUAGCCCAGGCUGGCCUAAAGCUUAUGAUCCUGCCUCAGCUUCCUGAGAGCUAGAAUUACAGAGAUAAGGAAGGCGGGGAGACACUCGCUAAAGAAAUCAAGACAAGGCCAGGACAGCAGACAGUUGGGCAGCCCACACACUCUUGGCUAACCCCAGCCUCAUUGCAUCUGGGAAGCAACAGCAGCUCAAUAGACUUUGAGUCAUUUGUGGGGUCUGCAUCAUGGGCCCUUUCAUACCCCAGGACCUUUGCACAGGCUGUCCCUCUUCCUGAAACACCUUCCCUGCUCUCCCUAGACGAACUUUGUAGAAUUUGCUUGUGUAACACUCUCUAACCUUCUGUGCACUUUCUUCCCUAGCAGGAUAAGCCUCUGGGUGGGAGGUGAAUCUAUCAUGUCUCUAAAGCUAGAUCCUUUAGCUGCAUAUCUUUCUGUGCCCCUUGGCCACACUCCUCAUACCUAAAAGGGAGGGAGGAGUCUAGGAUGCUCCCAGGAUGGAAGGCCCAUACACUGUGCAGAGCCCAGGGGUGGCCCAGUAGGCUCCCACAUACCCAGCAGGCUGCCUUUUGGGCCACAACGACCGCAUGGAACAGGUCCCCGGGAGCCUCUGCUCUCUGCCCUUGCCUCCUCCUGGCUCUUCCUGGAGACUUGUUCCCUAAGAGGCAUCUGGGCCCUCCGGAGGGUGACUCAUUUGACCCAGAGCUUUCUGUCCCAUUUCUUGGGCUCCUGGACACCCUGUCCCACCAUCCUGCAUUGGUACAGGCCAGUGUAGGGAAGGAGCUGAGGCUGGCGGAGACGCCCUUCUGUCUCCCCCCAAUCCCUCGUCCUCUGCAGACAGCUCAGGGCUCUCUCCACCCAUCCAAAGCCUGAUCCAUGGGACACUGAGAAGGACGAAUGAACGGCUGCUGGAAGCUGGGAGAGACAGAGUCACCAGCACAGCAGGCCCCGCCCAGGUGUACCUCCAUCAUGUUGUCUGCACAAGGCCUCAGAGAGCGGUGGUGCAGAGGUGGGUCCUGCCAGGAAGAUGAAGGAACGUGUCACGUGUGAGCAAGGCAGAGGCCCACGUGAACAGGAGCGGGGAAGGACUGAUGCAGACCUGGCCCUGAGGCUUCACUAGCUCUCACCGGCAGUCUGCUCCAUGGUGGCCAGUGCCCAGAGUUCACUGCCUGGGCAAGAAGGGCUCCAGGCCCCUGACCCACUGGCAGCUGCAGAAAUGGGCCCCCUGAGGCCCAGGAGCUGCUGGCCAGCUGGGUGUGGCGUGGCAUGGGGCCUGGCUCACGGUCACCCUGACCUCCGAGGCAGGCCAGUGGGGAGUCAUUCUUUCCAGCCCAUCAGCUGGGCUUGGCUGCCGUGGCGGCCAGGAGGCCCAGGGUGGAGGACACUGUGGCUUCCAGCUGCUUCCACGGAGGCUGUGUUUGCCAGACUUCAUCACCGGUUCCCUGGAAGCCGGUGCAUCCCCACAUGCUGUCUCCACGGUCACUUACAAUAGACUGCGUCAGAGGGAUGGGCAGUGCUCACCGAAGAUGGAAACUUUGGCGCUACCUGACGAGCAAACUGAAGUGUGAGAGAAGAGCUGUCCCUGCAGUCCCUCGUGUAAAAGGCACGUGGGUGUGGGAUGCAACUUGGGGAGAAGACAGCUGGGGAGACACCCUGGACCUCACCUCCAUCCUUCUAGGAGCUCACGUCCUUCAUGUUUGCCAGGACAAAGGGGCACAAGGGAAAUGGGUGGGCAUCCCCGUAACUGUAUGGAGACAUCCCCCCAUUUUGUAGAGGACAGAGGCUCUGCGCAGGGAAGGGGCUGGCCUAGCAGAAGCCACAGAGCAAAGGACCCUACAGGCUGGUUGGAAAUGAGUCUGUGUGACUCCAGAGGAUGUGGAGGGGAAAUAGCCACCCAGAAAGGGAUUCAUGGGCCGAGCACAGUGGCGCAGGCCUGAAAUCCCAGCACUCUGAGAGGCUGAGGAGGAGGUUUGCAAGUUUCAGCCCAGCCUGGACAAUUUAGCAAUCUAUCAAGACUCUGCUUCAAAAAAAUUUACGAGUCUGGGGAUAUAACUGUCAUGCUGAGGGACAGCAGGACAGUGGGACAGGAGGCUAUACCUUCACAGGCAGGUAUAGCCCUCUUCACUGACUCUUGGGCAAGUGCUGUACCACUGAGCUACAGUCCCAGCCCCUGGAGGGAUCUUUUCAAAAAUGCCAAUGUAAGGGCUGGGGAUUUAACUCAGCAGCAUAAGCGCCUGCCUGGCAAGUGCAAGGUUGUGACUUCAAUCCCCAGUACCAAAAAAAAAAAAAAAAAAAAAAAAAAGCCAAUGUGUGGUUCGGCUCCCAGAGGUUCUGCUUGACUUGGACUGCUACCAAGGUGGACACGGGCCUGUUUUCAAGCUCCCAGGUGACUCUCCCGUGCAGCCAGGACUGAGAUCAGCACCUUCAGUGACUCAUAGGAAUGACAGUUGUUUCCUGCCGACUGGGGAGGAGACAAUGGUGGGUGCAGGAACCUGUACCUCACUUAAUUGAGGCAAAGGCUGCCCGAGGUGUGGGUCACCACACAUGGCAUGGACCAGGUGAUCAUCAAAUAAACAGAUGAAGGAAAUAAACAAUGAAGGAAAAAAAAAGGGAGAACAGGACAGGAGUGGAGAGGACAGUGCUUACCAACGGGCAAGGCCACAAGGGCAGGGCUGGACCAAGGACAGCAUGGGAAGCACUGAGGUAGACUACAGCACAGGAGGUGGCCCUGGGAGAGGGUAGGAGGUGGGGCAGGAGGUGGAAGCAAGUUGUAGAGUGUCAGCUGUCCCCUGUGACCCUGUGGUGGCAGGGAGCUGAGCUGCCUUGGCUUGCAUGGAGAGAGGAGUGUACCCUUGUGCCUUGAACUGGGAAGAUCCACGUGUGAAAUCUGGAGGAUGACUUUGACGGGAUGCAUAUGGUCCUGAGCCCUAUAAAGUGGAAGAAUCCUGAACUGAACUCUGCCAAGUUGGACCCCAGCUGUGCUUCUCACAGGAGUGAUGGCUGAGAAUUUGCUAAAUCAGUGUUCACGGUGGCUUUGUACAAUGUAGCUGCCAUAGUCAACAUGAAUCAACUCUCUGUAUA